UACAGAGGUCUCAAGCGUUGUUCGGAUUCAUUGGGCGUAAAGCGUGCGUAGACGGUUGCGUAAGUCAGAUGUGAAAGCCCCGGGCUCAACCUGGGAAUUGCAGUCGAGACUGUUCGGCUAGAGUGUGGGAGAGGGCAGUGGAAUUCCCGGUGUAGCGGUGAAAUGCGUAGAUAUCGGGAGGAACAUCAGUGGCGAAGGCGACUGCCUGGCCCAACACUGACGCUGAGGUGCGAAAGCGUGGGUAGCAAACAGG
rnacentral:rRNA from 1 species